GGCUAUAGCUCAGUGGUAGAGUAUGGGCUUAGCAUGCACAAGGGCCUGGGUUCGAUCCCCAGUACCACCA
rnacentral:tRNA from 1 species